AUGUCGGCGCCGUGCCUGCGCCUGCCCGCCGCCGGGUCAGCACCGGCGGAGGCGGACAGCGCCGGCGGCAUGGAGCCGCCCGCCGCCGCCGGGGCCGCCGCGGCCGCCGCCCUGGAGCUGGCCCUGGAGGAAGAGCUGGCGCUGCUGGCCGCCGCCGGGGAGCCGCCGGAGCCGCCGCCCGCCGCCGCCGUCCGCGACCCCGAGCUGCUCUCCCUGAUCCGGCAGAAGGAGAAGGAUCUGGUGCUGGCGGCGCGGCUGGGCAAGGCGCUGCUGGAGCGCAAUCAGGACAUGAGCCGCCAGUACGAGAGGAUGCAUAAGGAGCUCACCGACAAACUGGAGCACCUAGAACAAGAGAAACAUGAACUAAGGAGGCGAUUUGAGAACAAAGAAGGAGAAUGGGAAGGAAGGGUGUCUGAACUGGAAAGUGACGUGAAGCAGCUGCAGGAUGAGCUGGAGAGGCAGCAGGUUCACCUGCGUGAAGCUGACCGUGAGAAGACACGAGCUGUCCAGGAACUCUCCGAACAGAACCAAAGACUCCUGGACCAGCUCAACAGGGCAUCCGAGGUGGAACGGCAGCUCUCCCUGCAGGUCCACACCCUCCGGGAGGACUUUCGGGAGAAGAACUCCUCUAGCAGCCAACACAUCGUGCGGCUGGAGAGCCUCCAGGCCGAGAUCAAAAUGCUGACGGACAGGAAGCGGGAGCUGGAGCAUCGCCUUAGUGCCAUGAUGGAGGAGAAUGACUUGCUCCAGGGAACUGUGGAGGAGCUGCAAGACCGAGUCCUCAUUCUGGAGAGACAAAGCCAUGACAAGGAUUUGCAGCUGCACCAAAGCCAGCUGGAGCUCCAGGAGGUGCGGCUGUCCUACCGGCAGCUGCAAGGCAAGGUGGAAGAGCUCAGUGAGGAGAGAAGUCUCCAAAACUUCAACACAACCAGCACAUCCCUGCUAUCUGAAAUAGAGCAGAGCAUGGAGGCAGAGGAGCUGGAACAAGAACGAGAACAGCUGAGGCUGCAGCUCUGGGAAGCAUAUUGCCAAGUGCGGUACCUCUGCUCCCACCUCAGAGGAAAUGACAGCGCAGACUCAGCAGUCUCUACAGACUCCUCCAUGGAUGAGUCUUCAGAAACCUCAUCAGCCAAAGAUGUCCCAGCUGGUAGUCUGCGGGCAGCUCUCAGUGAGCUGAAAAGACUGAUACAAAAUGUGCUGGAUGGGGCAGACUCCACGAGCUCCCGACGAAGUGACGAUGACACCUUAGAAGAGCAGAUCAGGAGAACAAGUGAGGAUUCACGAGCCCUGAGGGAAUUAAUGGAUGGAGAACGGGGGAAACUGAGGCAGAGUUUGGAGGAGCUGCAGCGACUGCACAGCCAGGUCACACUGCUGAGUGUGGAAAUGACAACGCUGAAGGAGGAACGGGAUCGACUGCGAGGUGCUGCUGAAGACAAGGAGGCAAGUGAACGGCUCCUGCAAGCCAUCAGGGACCGAGAUGAGGCCAUUGCCAAGAAAAAUGCAGUGGAGGUGGAGCUGGCCAAGUGCAAGAUUGACAUGAUGUCCCUCAACAGCCAGCUGCUGGAUGCCAUCCAGCAGAAGGUGAACCUCUCGCAGCAGCUGGAAGCCUGGCAGGAUGACAUGCACAGGGUCAUUGACCAGCAGCUGAUGGACAAACACCCGAAGGAAUGGAGCCAGCUUGCUUAUUCCUUCUCCAGUGGCUACGGCGCCAAGCGGAGUGCCAGACCCUCCCCCGUGCUCAGGCCGGAGCCGCAGGGGGAAGAGCCUGCUGGGGCAGAAGGGAACCGUCUCUUUUCCUUUUUCAAGAAAAAUUAAUUUGAAAAAGAGAAACCUCUCCAACAAUUCCUGCUUCAAGAUGGGGAGUGGGGCAGCUGCCCAGCUUGCUGAGGGACCCGAGUCUGAUCCAAUAAGAAAAAAAAGAAGGGGGCAAAGGAGUUAACCUUUGAGACUCUGCACUAUUUACACCGCACCUGGUCUGAACCAAAUGUUUACAUGAACUGGAGAUUUGCAAAUUGACAAUGUGAUACGAACAGAAAGAAACUUUUCUUAUUAAGUGAAGUGAUAAACUUCAGGGUAUAUUUUAGGAGCUCUGACAAAGGUCAGUUUCUGCUGUGAAGAAUGAUCUGAUUGUAUUAAACGCGUUCUCAUGCUGGAGAUGGAAAACCAGCCCCGAGACCGAGCAGUGCAGGGGAUUGACAACGGCCAUCAUAGCGAGCACAGGAGGAAGAAGAGGGCUGAAUGCAAGAGGAGAGAGAGUGGCUGUACCAUUCUCCAGUCCUGGCAGCUUCAUCCAUCCCAUUGAGACCGGAGUUGCUCUGGCCCCAGCACUGCCAUGUCUUGCCAAGUGUAGCAUUCUCCGUGGUGGAAGUUGAGCCCUCACUGCAGAUCGUGCCUGAACGCCAUCUCCCCUGCAUCUCUGCGUAGCUGUUCACCCCUCGCUGGGAAUCCAGGCUCCUCGCAGAUCUGGGCAGGGUAAAGUGGCUGAUGUUACUGUCUUCUCUAGCUCUCUCCUGUUACAGAGAUAGAGUUGCAGAGUCUGUAGUUGCACAGGACGUUAAGGAUUUCUCCCCAAGAGACUGACCAUCUACAACAGAUUACAAAGCGGGUGACAGUUGUGGAUGUUCAGUACCGGAGCACCUACUGGCCACAGGUAGUUGUGGAGCUUCCGCGAGUCACACACCUUUCCCCAAAGCCGCGUAUCCCUGCAGAACAGAGUAAGAAACUUGUCACUUUGACUGGCGCACUGAAAGCCGAUCCCUGAUAAGGUCAGCAGGUCUGUGGUACCGAGUUGGCAGACCUGAUCCUCAGAAAGCAUGCAGGCAUCUACCUUCACUAAAGCCAAAGGCAAUUAGUGCAGCUACAAAGCUCUGGAAAUUCUACAGCUUUCUCUGCCCCGCAGUUACAUUAGCUAUGGCCUGAUGAAAAUGAUGAGUAUUUGUCCCUGCUUGUGAGUUGUUCACUACUCAGCCCUUUGGCGAGCAGGCAGCCACAUCUCCUUUUGACUGAAGCUGAUCGGAGCCUGCUUUGCUGUGAGCAUGACUUGAUCAAGAGGAAGGAAAGUAGCGCAUUUGCUGUAUGCACACAGUGGUGCUGGAAAUCCUGCAAUACUUAAGUAGGGACCUUCCCUAUGCACUGGAUGGGCACCUUACAGCUCUUCUCUUUUACACAGUCUACCAUCAUAAACCAGCAAGGAGCACCAGCCUAGGCUCAGAGAUGUCCUGCUGUCAUGCAGUUUCCACACAUUCUCCAGCUCACAAUACCCACAGGCCAUAAUUUGUUUCCCCAUUGCUUUAAAGAGACUACCACCUACACUGUCCCACAGGAAACAGAGCUAGGUACACAUUCAGCUCUGCCCUGCUCAGCAACUUAGGUGCUAAAACACCAUCCUACAGAGAGCUGCUAUCUCUGCUCUGUAUUUACAGUAACAAACUGUCUGCUAGAAGAGACUUCUUUGAGGAAGCAGAUGAUACAGAAAAUCUUCAGAAGUGGCUAACCAAACUCCUCACGUCCUUCAGCCUCCUGCACUCACCCCUACAUCCCUGAAGAUUUCUAAGCAGAAGGGAGCCUCUUGCCAUUUGCUGUGGUACUCCCCAC